CCGCGGCGCCUGCGCGUCCACACCCUUCCGCCGCGUCUCGUCGCGUCAGCGCGCGCCAAGGGCUAGCUCCGCCCUAGUCUCGCGCCCCACCAUGGGCUCGUGGAGCUUCCACUGCGGCUGCGCGUCUGGCUCAUGGUGGGGGCCUUAAGGCUUCUACUGCUGCUGCGCACACUAGGCGCGCGCUCGCGAGUUCCCUUCUUGCGGCUCCUCCCUCCAGUCAAGUUCCGUCGGGGUGUGUGUGCAGCCUCCGCUCUUUGGUGAGUUUUCCAAAUAGUUCUCUGAAGUCGUUUCCUCGUGACCAGCGCUAAACUUUCUCCCACUGCUUUUGAGAAGAGGUCCUCUCCUUGAACUCUCACUCCGGGCUCCACGUGAAAGACUUGUGUCGGGUUGGGGAGGCCGACGCCACCGCGUUGUGCUCCGGUGGCGGGCUCCGUCGGAUUCCGGGAGACCGAGACUUAACUGACUCGCAGCUCACUUGCAUAUUCCGGCAGCCUCGUGAGUGCAGCCGUGUGGCCGUUGCUCACCAGGCUAGGGCCAGCAGCUGUGGCCACACCAGCUCCCCAGCCCCCGAAUCCACCCCACAAUCCAGUGACUCGACGGGAGGAGCGCCCUCUACUGGCGACGAGGUUCCCUGUGGGGGCAAGGGGUUCUCGCCCGUAAGACCCAGGAAGGGGACCUGGCUGGGAGGGCGGUCGCGCAGCCACAGUGAGAGCCCGCGCGACCCCCCAUACCCAGGCUCCAAGCUGCCUGAAAGGUUUUUGGCUUUUUUUUUUGGCUUUUUGGUGGACCUUCGGAUGAGUGGUGGCCCCGGGGGUCACUCGUUUACUCUGUGCCAGGCACAGUACCAGGCACUGGGGUACAUCUGGAAACAAAAUCCGCACGGCCCCUGACCUCCCUUAGGAACAAAUCAAUAAGAGGAUUUGGUUUAGCGGUGAGCGCUAUUCCAUGAAUGAACGAAACAGGGUAAUGGAAGAGGCAGAGGCAUCAAGGGAAGGCUCUCAGGAGGCCAUGGUUGAGCCUACGGUUAUGAACAGCCCAGCCUGUGAAGGUGGUGGGGGAGACACUCCAGUUAGAGGGAGAUAGCCCCUGAGGCUGGAGUAUUUGAGGGACAGGUGGAGGGUAGGUGUAACUAGAACAUUUUAAAUGAGGGGGGAAGAUAAGUUGGGACUAAAUAGGUCACUAGGCCAUAGUAAAGAACUUGAAUUGUAUUCCGAGAACCAUGGGAAGCUGUUAGAAGGUUAUCAGAAGAAUAAAAUGAACGUUAAAAAUGUUUGAUAUAAAUCUGUGUGGUGUAUCGGGUACUAGAAGACACCCAGUGGAAUUAGGGCUACCUCAAAAGUAAUAUAAAUGAAAUACUUAACAAAAAGCUAGAGAUUUCCUCCUAAGGCAGUAUCUGGGGAUCAUUUCUGUGAUGCCUGAAGCACUUUGCUAGUUAUGAUGACGACCAUUCAAGGAAACGUGCCCUCUCCGGGAUGUUAGAAGUUGGGAGUAGCUUCCAUCUUUUUGGCACCUAUCAUAUGCCAGGAGAUAAAAGUGGGAGAAUGAAGGAAUAUUGAAGAGGACUAGAGAGCAGCAAAGACAUGAACCAUUACCCCAAAAUGAGAAAGGAGGACAUACAAAGAAAAAGAUCAUUACAAAUAAAAAUAAACUAACGGA